AGCGAACGCUGGCGGCAGGCCUAACACAUGCAAGUCGAACGAAGUCUUCGAACUUAGUGGCGGACGGGUGAGUAACACGUGGGAACGUGCCUUUAGGUUCGGAAUAACUCAGGGAAACUUGUGCUAAUACCGAAUGUGCCCUUCGGGGGAAAGAUUUAUCGCCUUUAGAGCGGCCCGCGUCUGAUUAGCUAGUUGGUGAGGUAAAGGCUCACCAAGGCGACGAUCAGUAGCUGGUCUGAGAGGAUGAUCAGCCACAUUGGGACUGAGACACGGCCCAAACUCCUACGGGAGGCAGCAGUGGGGAAUCUUGCGCAAUGGGCGAAAGCCUGACGCAGCCAUGCCGCGUGAAUGAUGAAGGUCUUAGGAUUGUAAAAUUCUUUCACCGGGGACGAUAAUGACGGUAUCCGGAGAAGAAGCCCCGGCUAACUUCGUGCCAGCAGCCGCCGUAACAC
rnacentral:rRNA from 1 species